AUGUAUAUCAGAUCCCUGCGAGUAUUUUCAAAAUUCAAUUAUUUUAGACAACAGGCACAUAUGCAAUACUGACAUAAUCUCAAAUACCACUAAGCAGCUGGGACACAUUUUUGUCGACCAUACUCUCAGGUAAAAUAAGUAGAUCAUGUGGACAGCUCCAGCUCAUUUUCCUUAAAUCAGUGUGUACAAGGGGUAUGCAAAAAUAAUUUUUUUCUCGCACACCGAUUAUUUUGCUAUAUAAGCAAGAUAACCUUCCACAUUAGUGUAAUGUAUCAUGUACAUCACACUAUAAUGUGCUCUAAUUUACCAAGUGAGAUUACUUACUUGUAUGGCUCAUUCAGCCAUAUCACACUGCAAGCUGCAUUCAUCAAUCUUCAAUUGGAUUUUGCAAAUGCUUUAUGAAACACGUUUCCCUUUUACGCAGAUAUGCAAUGGCAAGCCCUUCUGUGUGUUCCAAAGGUAAAAUUUAAGCUCUAAAUUAAAGAAGACAUUUCUAGUCAGAAACAAGCAAAAAUGGCGAAUGCAGAGUAUCGAAGCCCAAGGUACAGAAAUUAUGAGAAGUGUCGAGUAAUUUUAAGGAAAUAGUCGUAUUUGAAAAUGCGAGACUCUUUAGUGGAGGUCAAGCAAGUCAAUAUAGGUAGAAUACUCUGCAAAAUUUUGCGAGUGAGGGGAUGUCAAACAAUGGGUCAGGAAAUGCGUUGUUUUUCUGCAAAACAAAAGCUGAUUGCCAUUACAUAAGUCACUUCAGCAUCAUGAGACUGCUGCUUGAUCAAUUCAGAAAUAAACCAAAACACAAGACAUGCAAAAAUAAAGAAACAAUAUAAUGAUGCUCUCUCCACAUUGGGAUAAAUAAAAACAAACACAUCACAUCUAAUGUACACAUAUCAGACAGCUUGUGAAACACUAAAGGAAAAAGUUCAGUUUCGAGCUAUGGCGCUUGCCGCAUAGAUGUCGAGGGGCCUAGCACUAAUAGUGAUAGUUACCACUGCAUUUAGAAAUAGAACGCAUUCAUGCAGACAAGGAUGAUUCUUUAUAUUUUUGGCUACCACUUCAAGUGCCUCCACCAAGUGUUACAAUGCUGCACGCAGCCAUACUAAGGAUCUCGCAGCAACACCUGGAGGUAAAAAGCAGAAGCAGUCAAAGUGCUGGUGUGUACUGGACACUAUGUUUGAAAACAUUAGGCAAGAAGAGUGCAAGAAGCAGACAUAACAACUGCAUUUAUUUCCAUAAUUCCCCAUUUGAAUGGCCUUUUCUUUUUGCUUAGACAAUGCCUACACCUAGCUACAGCAGCUCCCUCAUACAGACUCCACAAGCCAAGAGGCCGUGGAGGCAAAUGCAGGCAGCCAGCACACCCCGAACAGCCACCUUGACUGCGGGCGUGUCACCCUAGUCGCCAAGGAAACAUUUGAGGGAAAGCGACAGGCAAUGUGAACAGCCACUUCUCCAUGUAAACAAUACUCUUUCUCUCGGAUGACUCCUACGCCUCGCCACGCCAGCACACUUGUGGACAAAGAUGCUGCGGAGGCACGUGCAGCUCAGAGGCAAGAAGCAGUGGCACUGGUGUCGACAUUCACCCACUUUCAUUUUCUUACACUGAGGCAGCCAGCACACCUCGAACAGCCACCUUGAAUGCGGGUGUGUCAGUAGAUUCCUGUUGUACAUAUGCUCAUAAUAAACAUCAGUAAACUUGAACUUGAUAAUAAACUUGAAGGCAAAUGGGA